rnacentral:rRNA from 1 species
CUUUCCUUCGGGACAGAGGAGACAGGUGGUGCAUGGUUGUCGUCAGCUCGUGUCGUGAGAUGUUGGGUUAAGUCCCGCAACGAGCGCAACCCUUAUGCUUAGUUGCCAGCAGGUCAAGCUGGGCACUCUAAGCAGACUGCCGGUGACAAACCGGAGGAAGGUGGGGAUGACGUCAAAUCAUCAUGCCCCUUAUGACCUGGGCUACACACGUACUACAAUGGCCGGUACAACGGGAAGCGAAG